AUUGAACGCUGGCGGCAUGCCUUACACAUGCAAGUCGAACGGCAGCAUAGGAGCUUGCUCCUGAUGGCGAGUGGCGAACGGGUGAGUAAUAUAUCGGAACGUGCCCUAGAGUGGGGGAUAACUAGUCGAAAGACUAGCUAAUACCGCAUACGAUCUACGGAUGAAAGUGGGGGAUCGCAAGACCUCAUGCUCCUGGAGCGGCCGAUAUCUGAUUAGCUAGUUGGUGGGGUAAAAGCUCACCAAGGCGACGAUCAGUAGCUGGUCUGAGAGGACGACCAGCCACACUGGGACUGAGACACGGCCCAGACUCCUACGGGAGGCGGCAGUGGGGAAUUUUGGACAAUGGGGGCAACCCUGAUCCAGCAAUGCCGCGUGAGUGAAGUAGGCCUUCGGGUUGUAAAGCUCUUUUGUCAGGGAAGAAACGGUUCUGGAUAAUACCUGGAGCUAAUGACGGUACCUGAAGAAUAAGCACCGGCUAACUACGUGCCAGCCGCCGCCGUAA
rnacentral:rRNA from 1 species